rnacentral:rRNA from 1 species
AGCGAACGCUGGCGGCAGGCUUAACACAUGCCAGUCGAGCGGGCACCUUCGGGUGUCCGCGGCAGACGGGUGAGUAGCACGUGGGAACGUACCCUUCGGUUCGGAAUAACGCUGGGAAACUAGCGCUAAUACCGGAUACGCCCUUAUGGGGAAAGGUUUACUGCCGAAGGAUCGGCCCGCGUCUGAUUAGCUAGUUGGUGGGGUAACGGCCUACCAAGGCGACGAUCAGUAGCUGGUCUGAGAGGAUGAUCAGCCACACUGGGACUGAGACACGGCCCAGACUCCUACGGGAGGCAGCAGUGGGGAAUAUUGGACAAUGGGCGCAAGCCUGAUCCAGCCAUGCCGCGUGAGUGAUGAAGGCCUUAGGGUUGUAAAGCUCUUUUGUCCGGGACGAUAAUGACGGUACCGGAAGAAUAAGCCCCGGCUAACUUCGUG